GUUUCGGUGGCCUAAUGGUUAGAAUGUCAGCCUCGGAUGAUUUCGAUCCUCGGAUGCUGGAGCUCGUGGGUUCGAUCCCUGGUUGAGUCA